rnacentral:rRNA from 1 species
GGAGGAAAAGAAACCAACAGGGAUUGCCCCAGUAACGGCGAGUGAAGCGGCAACAGCUCAAAUUUGAAAUCUGGUCCCCAGGGCCCGAGUUGUAAUUUGUAGAGGAUGCUUUUGGCGAGGCGCCUUCCGAGUUCCCUGGAACGGGACGCCACAGAGGGUGAGAGCCCCGUCUGGUCGGAUGCCAAGCCUAUGUAAAGCUCCUUCGACGAGUCGAGUAGUUUGGGAAUGCUGCUCAAAAUGGGAGGUAUAUGUCUUCUAAAGCUAAAUAUUGGCCAGAGACCGAUAGCGCACAAGUAGAGUGAUCGAAAGAUGAAAAGCACUUUGAAAAGAGGGUUAAAAAGUACGUGAAAUUGUUGAAAGGGAAGCGCCUAUGACCAGACUUGGGCCCGGUGAAUCAUCCAGCGUUCUCGCUGGUGCACUUUGCCGGGCACAGGCCAGCAUCAGUUUGGCGCGGGGGAUAAAGGUUUCGGGAACGUGGCUCCCUCGGGAGUGUUAUAGCCCGUUGCGUAAUACCCUGCGCCGGACUGAGGUACGCGCUCCGCAAGGAUGCUGGCGUAAUGGUCAUCAGCGACCCGUCUU